rnacentral:lncRNA from 1 species
UUUUUUUUUCCAUCUCUUCUUUCUACAUAUGUGUACUUCUUCGGCUUUUUUCUUACAUCUAUUUUUAUUUGUUUUAUUACUUGUUUUAUAUAUUUUGGGUUUUUCUUAGAUUUGCUCUACAUGGUUAAAUUAAAUUUAUGCGAGUUGUUCAUCUGAAAAGUUCCAUUGGAAUAAUUUUUCGUAAAUAAUUGCUCUUUUAAACUAUAGUAUAGGCUUCUAGGGGCAUUCUUUCUAAAUUUAAUGAUGCCUACUUUGGAAGAGAUUCAAAAUUUAUACUUGAAUAAGGAUUCAUCGUUUAGAGGUAAUUCAUUUACUAACAUUUACUACCAUAUGUUAUUUCGCUUGCCAAAAUAAAUUAUUCCUCUUCUUUGUGUUCUUUACCAACUUCUUUUCGUUUCAAAUUCUGUCCUUAAAAUAUUUAUUACCUAUAUUGCUAUAACUGACUAUAUAUCGCUGGACACCUUCGACAUCUGUUUCCAUUUACUUUGUCAAAUGCUCGUUACAUCCAUCACUAUGAAAUUACUAAAUUAACUAUUGCUUUUGCUGUUGUAUCGGGCAGUUGUUAAAUAAUUUCAAGUAGAUGUGAAAAAACCAAUUUCCCUAUGGUCGAUAUUAUGAGUAUUCAUGAUCAGUUUCCAUUACAAAUAAGUUAUUGUGAUUCAAUAUUACUUCCAAUAUUGUAAACUGGUUAUUAUUGUAUCAUAAAGCCCUUCAGCUACCUUUCACUCUCAAUCAAUCGAAAAUCCCUCUUCUUGUUUAGGCAUAAGGCUACAGUGAUGGGGAAACUCGCUUCCGUUUUUGAAAUAACAAAUGGAUCGAAAUACUUAAAAUUUAUUCUUUUCAAAAGUAGCCUCGACGAUCCAUUUCACAUGUUUAGCUGAAAUUAGAACUUGUGGUGUAGUUUUCACAUUCAUUUAAAAAUUAAUAUUAUUUUCACAUGAUGAAUAAUUAUUUAUUAUGAGAUUGUUAAAGAGUGCUUCUUUUGCUUCUUAAUUCUAAUUAUUAGCUAUUUAUCUUUAUUGACUUCAAGCU